CAACAAAAAACGUAAUGGAUAAAUUCUGCUAUUCUACAAUAAGAAGAGGCGUGAACGGUCGUGCAGUUUUACAAAUGUUUUAUUUACAACAGCGUUUAUUUCAAGAAAAAAUAGGAAUCUAUGCAUCAACGUCAAGCAAGCAUUUAAUGUGUCUAAGAAUAAAACUUAAAAUAAUCCCACUCCGUGGUACAUUCUACAGGUAUGCGUUAUGUUUACCACGCAAAAACAGACAUGCGAAAGCACAUGCUUGCUUUGAGGCCGGCCCUGCAGCCAUGCCAUUAGUAUGUAGUAAUGCACUCUAAUAUACCCAGUCCUGCCGUAGGAUUUCCCUCUUCGGUAAUAGCAGGUUGUAAUGGAGAGGAGAUGUAAAAAUGUCUAAGUCAGCACCAUAUUGGUGGUUAAUGAUCUAUUAAGUGAUCCGUGUGCUUAUAGACAGCGAAAAAAAGUGUUGAUGCUUGCUUAUUUAGACUAAUGAGAUUCCCAUCCUACGAAUUUUAAGAAUGAAUAACAGAAAUAAAAUCACCUUUAAAAUGUUGCCUUUAACAGUUGACAAGGUGCUCCGUAGCGGACCUUAUAAUGCCUAUACAGCCUCCCGGCAGCCUACAACGCUGCCGGGAGUUCUUAAGCAUCUGAAAUUAUACAGGCCUGUCAUCGCGUAAAAUAACAAGGGGGCAGUUAAUCUUGUGGCUACGCAAAAGAUUCUACAUGGGACCAGGACUGUACUUGCAAGAAUUUAGGACAGAUCACCAGCGCUGAUGUAUAUAGGAAUGAAGAAGUGGGCUGCAGUGGCCGCCCGCGACCCCGGCCCCACGCGCGUCACCCCGAGCCCUGACAGGCGUGGUCCUGCCGGAGCUGCCAGGGAAAGGGUAAGGAAAUGCCAGCUCUUUCAGCAGGGACCGGCGCACUGUCGAUGGUCCCCAACCCCCUCUGACAAACAGCGGCCCCAGGACCUGCUAGUCACAAUAACUGCUCACGUUUGCAAACAGCAUUAAUGUAUGUGACAGAAUUAUAAUACACAUAUACACAGGGGGAGGUGGGGUGGGGGAGGCAGAGCUAUUAAUGCUCUGACAAAGUAACGAGAAAACACUGGAUGGGAGUCAACACCUUCACUGCCAAGGUGCUCUAGCCACAUUGAAAUGGUACUGAACCACACACAGAGCACAGUACACUGAAUUACACUGAAUUUUACUCAGUCAUUUCAUUGUAUGUAGCCUAGCCCAUGCUUCAAAUAUGUACAGAGAGAGCUGAUGGAGAGUGAGGUUCUUCUAUAUGAGUAAAUAAUGGAUGUGAAACCAAAUAUGAAAAAGUUUCAUUUGGUCAAGGCAAUGCUCUUAACAAAAACAGUAACAAAAUGUGAAUGUUAGUAUUUAAAGAGGGCUUAUUUAAUAGGAUGAUGAAUCUGAACAGCUUCUAAUGUUAUGAAAUAAAAAAAAUAAAAAACAUUUACAACUGCUAUAGUGCAAUCUAGUCCAUGUAUUGUCCAUUUACACUUUGCAUCACAAACAAAUUUAUAUGCCAUUAAUAUAUUUGUAACUGCGUGAUUCUUUGUCUCAUUUCCCCACCCCAUAAAUAAUGAUACAUGUCAUUGGGUGGCCAGUAAGCCAGUGUUGAGGUUCAAAAUUCUCAAUUGCACCAGGAAUAAAACAGGUCUGUGCCUGGAUUUACAAAAUAAAAACAAUCUUAAAAAAAAAAAAUCUCUCGGAGAGGCCGGGAGAGGCGUUGGGACCCUCUUCUGGGGCUGACGGCUGUGAAGCGGAGAUUUGUACAGAAAUAAGGCUUGUAAAUAAAUCUGUUUGGGGACUGGGGGUGUUCAGAUGAAUUAUGGUCCCCAGGAUGUGGAGCAAUGUGAAAAACUCAGGAACGCCAGGGAAUAACAAAUCUCCUGGUGUCGUUACCGGGCAAAACAAAUACCCCGCUCCGCAAAAGCUAUCCAUCUGGGAUAUGAAUCUUAACAAAGACGUCCCUUCCAACCCCCCACUCCCUCUUCACUUAUUUAUUUAUAAAUUUGUAUUAUUUAUUUAUUUGUUUGUUUGUUUAUUUAAAUGGAAGCACCUACUGGGAAUAAGGGGAGUAUUUAUUGGUUUUUAUAAAUGCAACGUCAUUCAUCUUUCCUUAUAAUGUCCUUUACCAUUACGAGACUCAAAAUUGGGGGAAGCUAGGAGCUGUAAGUAACGAUCAAUCACCGUAAAUUAAAUAAUUGAAUAUAAGGGCUGACAAUUUAAAAGUCUUAGUUAUACUGUAUAUUGAAUUAAUGAAGCAAAAUUAAAAGGAAAGGCCAGCCAGCGGCAAUGUGUCAUCUCAAGAUUUCAGUUCAAAUCAAUAAAAAAGAGACUUUGAAGCAAGUGGAAAUAAACCAAGUUAAAUUUCUGAGACAUAAAGUGAGUAUUCACCAUUUAUAAGCUACUCAAAGAAUUAUGAUACAAAUAGAUGUGAAUGAAUGCUUUUAGAGUUUGCUUUUGCUAAAUGCAUAGGUUUCAGUUUUUAUAGGUUUGCUACUUUCAUAUUUGCACUUUGAGUCAGAGCAUUACUUAAUUUGGUAAAAAUUGAAAGCCCAAGUAUUUAUCUAGCUUUUCUUCUGAAGUAAAGGAAGGCAUUUGAUUUUUAAAGGGGCUGUGGAAAGCUCUCUGGUUUAAAUACUGUUCCCAAUAACAAAGGCAUUUCAUUCCCAUUAAUUAGGUCAGAGCCGACCCUGCCUGUGGAUCCGAGCGGGUCACUGAAUCAUUCCCGGGAUGAAUAUUAGCCUGUUGUUUGCAAAUAGGUGAUAUAUGGUGCCUAUAUCCUUUGGUGAUGAAUGUUUUUUAAAAAUUUCCUCUCCUUUAUCAAUUGACUAACAAACUCAUGUAUCACUGCCACUCUUGCUCGCUUUCCACAUAAAUUAAAUAACCCGCUUCUUGUUCUUCUCUUGUUUUCCUCUCGCUCUCCUCCCCCCCCAGGUCCGGGCCACCCCAUGUUGUUGUUGUUCCUGCAGUGCAGUAGUUUAAAGUAUUAUCAUUAGUGAAUGCAUUAAGGUGAAAUGCCUCUCUAAAGCUGGCGCUCUUCCUCUCUCCCACAUGCAGGCACACAUAUACCCCAUCAUGCACUUGUGCUGCCGGCCAGAUCGGCGGUGCAGAUAGAGCCCUUAAGUGAAUAGGAGGGAAUAAUGGCCGUAAAAGGAAUAAUUCAGUGCAGAGUGGAGCUGUUUAAUCUUGGCCAGGGGGACGGUGGCAUGCGGUGAUGGCAGUAAGUGUUGUUGUGUAAUUAGGGAGUAUUUAUCAAAAGGAAUAGCCCCACAGCCCAGGCAAGGCACUGUCGCAGCCUCGCAGGCUGAAAGGUUAUUCUUAUAAUCACAGGGGUGUGUAACGAGCGCCAGGACAAAAAACACGCACACAAACUACACUACACACACACAUUCUACCAUGCACAUAAAAGCACACACAUCUAUGUAUACACAAAAUACAUGCAUACAGUAGACUAUAUGGGUAUAUAUGACGACUGUGCACAUGCCUAAAAUGUACAGCCUGCACUACACCUCAGACACAAGUACACAUCCCUGUGCACAUAGCACAUGCACACACACACACACACACACACGCCACACACACAUACACAUGCACGCACGCAUGCGCAAACAAGCACACACGAACGCUGUUCUGGACACAAGGUUAUCUGCUAGGAUAUGGACAUUCUAAGUGGAGCCACACAGAUGCAACAAAGGUGAAGUCAGUUUAACUUCAGUGAAACAGGACAGACAUAUUUUCCUAAUUGAGUCAAACUCCCCCAAAAUCUGUGGCUAUGAUGAUCACUUGGAGACACCAGCCUGAAAUUGGUCAAUAAAAUUUGGUUGAAUGUAGCAUUUUAAGGACAUUAGCGCACCUUUUAUUUGUCUCUGAUCCUUCUAAAGGCUCAUCAAAAAGCGCUCUUAGUCCUGAAGCCUUCCUAAUUAGAUGCAAAAAUGAAUACUUACGGAUACUGAGCACACACCCUCAGUGUAUAAUGACGCCACACAGGGAAGAUUUCCCACCGUAUUGUGAUGAGGCUCCUGUCAUUUACUGUUAUUCCCUUUUUGAUCAUUAGCUGCAGUAGAGGUACUGGUUUUAUGCCGCAGGUUGAAUAUGCAUGUAAAUGGGACAACAUGGGGUGUAAUUGGUAAAACUGUGUCAGAGUGUUGCAGGACUGGGUCCAAAGUGGGAUUCAGCUGUUGUUUUAUCUUUGAACAGAGCACUUUACCUGACUUGCUCCAGGAAAAAAAAAACUGCUAUUGGAAAUGGGUGAUUAUGAAAAGGAAACACACUGUCUCACCUACAGGACACCUGCUAAGCAAAAUAAAUUAUGGCAACAAUCUUGCACUGCAUAUUGGAAUCCAAAGGCAGAAAAAAUGCAGACAUCUUUACAUUUUUUUUCAAGGAAUCGAAGAUCUUUUUCUUUUCUUAUAUUAUAAUAGACUGGGCUAUAGUUCAGACCUGUGUACUUACAAAACUUAUUCUUCUGAUCAAACUAAAGACAUCCCAGUGUCUAAAACAGCCAAAGCCUUGUUUCUCUUUUUCAGCCACCCCACAUUGCUCUCUCACUGCUGCUCUAGAAGAAAACCCACAGGAGCAGGGAAGGGGGCAUCUCUCUAGGAGAGAGUGCUUUGUGUCCUGUGUGUCCCGGGCUCUGCUUUGUGUCCUGUGUGUAACUGAGGAUAACCUGAGCAUCAGGCCAAAUCAGCUGCCAGCGGCUCAGUGACCCGCUCUGGAUCCGCUGAAGUGCCCCCUGCACUGCACCUCCAUGCAGAUCCACAGUGACAGAUGCCCCCCCUGUCUCUCUCCUUCCAGGAGCGUAAGGAAGACCUCAUUUCAGACGGACCUGUGCAGGGAGCACGCUCCAUCACAGGAGGGGGAAGCAUGAAAGAUUCAGCAGCCCUCAAGUCUAGUUUUUACACGCUGCAGCGCGACCGAGGGGAAUGGGAUGAAAUUGACGAAGAUGAAAUGAGCGGUGCAUCGAUGAUUGGUUUAACUACCCCUCCCCUCCCCUCCCCUGCCACCUGCCUCCCCGCUCACACAUUCCUACAGCAGCCCUUCUGAGCAUUCCCAAAGUUGUCCUCCAUUGUUUCCCAGGGCUGAGUGAGGCUGUGCCUAUCCAAGCCAUGCUCUCUCACUCCCUCCCUCCUUCUCUCCCACUUAGCCAAGGUCAGUCUGGGUUACCAAGGUCACCGACUCCUCGCAAAAUGGUUCCAGAUGGAAUCAGUGCUCAGGACUCCAACACCACCACCCCCCCCCACCCUAUUUCUCCAACUGACAGAAACAAUAACAAGAUCCAGCCAGACCUGGGCUUACCCGGAAAGCGGGGAGGGUGAGGGUGGCACCUGUCCCGCUUUAGUCUACGGCGUGAUCGGGAGACGGGUCCCCAGCUGCGGACGCGUCCACCUGUCUGUCCCGAGCUGACGUUCCCCCGAACCCGGAAGCAUUUGCCUGCAAGCGUUUGAACAAUUGGAGGCUCAUACAGACACCAGUGGCCAGGUCCAGUGUGGUGAUCCAUCUCUGUCAGCCUGCUAAAAUGAUAACGCCAAUUAAAUGAGUAGAGUAAUUGCCCUCGGGUCCCAGAAGGCCCUCCCUGGAAGCGGCGGCCAUGGAAUAGGAAUGAGACCUGGCCCCCAGAGGAGCAGGGCGAGAGGAGCAGAGAGAGGAGGAGGGUGUGUUGGGGUGAUUUGUAACUUUUAACCUCUGCUGAUCACCGAUGGCCUUGGCAGAGGGAAAAAAAAAAAAAACUAUCCAGGGUCCACUUGACAGGACUUACUGCCCACGCCACUGCACUCAACACUGCACGGCAAAUGCCUAACUAAACAUGAAGGCUUCAUAGCACUGCACUCAACACAGCACGGAAAAUGCCUAACCAAACAUGAAGGCUACAUAGCACUGAACUCAACACUGCACAGCAAAUGCCUAACAAACAUGAAGGCUUCAUAGCACUGAACUCAACACUGCACGGAAAAUGCCUAACCAAACAUGAAGGCUACAUAGCACUGAACUCAACACUGCACAGCAAAUGCCUAACAAACAUGAAGGCUUCAUAGCACUGAACUCAACACUGCACAGCAAAUGCCUAACCAAACAUGAAGGCUUCAUAGCACUGCACUCAACACUGCACGGCAAAUGCCUAACAAACAUGAAGGCUUCAUAGCACUGAACUCAACACUGCACGGAAAAUGCCUAACCAAACAUGAAGGCUACAUAGCACUGAACUCAACACUGCAUGGCAAAUGCCUAACAAACAUGAAGGCUUCAUAGCACUGAACUCAACACUGCACAGCAAAUGCCUAACCAAACAUGAAGGCUACAUAGCACUGAACUCAACACUGCACAGAAAAUGCCUAACCAAACAUGAAGGCUUCAUAGCACUGCACUCAACACUGCACGGCAAAUGCCUAACCAAACAUGAAGGCUACAUAGCACUGAACUCAACACUGCAUGGCAAAUGCCUAACCAAACAUGAAAGCUUCAUAGCACUGCACUCAACACUGCACGGCAAAUGCCUAACCAAACAUGAAGGCUACAUAGCACUGAACUCAACACUGCAUGGCAAAUGCCUAACCAAACAUGAAGGCUACAUAGCACUGCACUCAACACUGCACAGAAAAUGCCUAACCAAACAUGAAGGCUACAUAGCACUGAACUCAACACUGCAUGGCAAAUGCCUAACCAAACAUGAAAGCUUCAUAGCACUGAACUCAACAAUGCACUGCAAAUGCCUAACCAAACAUGAAAGUGUUGUACAACAGCACUCAACACUGUACUGCAAAAGCAAACUGCUAACUGCACUGAAAGUCUAGCCAUUGUAUUCAGGAGGACACUGCAAAUGGCUGACUGGAUUUAAAUGCUUCACAUCACUUAACUCUACUACACAGUAAUAUUUUCCUAAAUGCAAAAAGGCUCACAUUGGUCAACAUUGGCAAAUUGCCAGCCAAACACAAAAAGUCUCAUCGACACUUUGAAAUAUGGUGCAGUUUAAAUAGCAUUAUAUCACUAAAGACAUGUGGUGGUGAGAUAAUGUUGGUAAUUGGUAGGCUUCAUUGAGAAUGCUCUAUGUGAGGUUACAAUAUGCACUUUUUAGAUAGAAUAAUAUGACAAAACAACAGUGACCAAAAUGGAAACCCUCA